AGAAUGAACGUUGGCGGCGUGGAUUAGGCAUGCAAGUCGAGCGAGAACCCCGCAAGGGGGGACAGCGGCGCAAGGGACAGUAAUGUGUAGAUCAUCUGCCCUCAGGUCCGGGAUAGCUGCGGGAAACUGCAGGUAAUACCGGAUAACAUCUCCGGAUACAAAGGUGUGAUUCCGCCUGAGGAUGAGUCUGCAUCCUAUUAGCUAGUUGGCGAGGU
rnacentral:rRNA from 1 species